rnacentral:rRNA from 1 species
AUACGUAGGGUGCAAGCGUUAAUCGGAAUUACUGGGCGUAAAGCGUGCGCAGGCGGUUUUGUAAGACAGAGGUGAAAUCCCCGGGCUCAACCUGGGAACUGCCUUUGUGACUGCAAGGCUAGAGUACGGCAGAGGGGGAUGGAAUUCCGCGUGUAGCAGUGAAAUGCGUAGAUAUGCGGUGGAACACCGAUGGCGAAGGCAAUCCCCUGGGCCUGUACUGACGCUCAUGCACGAAAGCGUGGGGCGCAAACAGGGUUAGAUACCCUGGUAGUCCACGCCCUAAACGAUGUCAACUGGUUGUUGGGGAUUUAUUUUCUCAGUAACGAAGCUAACGCGUGAAGUUGACCGCCUGGGGAGUACGGCCGCAAGGUUAAAACUCAAAUGAAUUGGCGGGG